AAGCUACAAUGGCAUAUUAAGAGCGUCCGCCUCAGAUGCGGGAGGUCGUGGGUUCGAUCCCCGGUCGAGUCA